rnacentral:tRNA from 1 species
GCGGAAGUAGUUCAGUGGUAGAACAUCAGCUUCCCAAGCUGAGGGUCGCGGGUUCGAUCCCCGUUUUCCGCUCCA